GAAGUACUCCCUCCGUUCGGAAUUACUUGUCGCAGAAAUGGAUGUAUCUAGACGUAUUUUAGUUCUAGAUACAUCCAUUUCCGAGACAAGUAAUUCCAAACGGAGGGAGUAAUAA
rnacentral:pre_miRNA from 1 species